rnacentral:misc_RNA from 1 species
AAUAUGUAGUGGGAGAGGCAUAGGUAUCCAUGUUAAUCUCUUAGGCAUGUUCUUUUCAACCCUGCUUUGUAGGGGGAUAUAUUGUUACAGCAUCUGGUCCUGCCAUUUCUGGUUUAUUUCCUUCCCCUUUGAAAGGAACUCUUUAAGGCCUUUGCAAUAUUUCGGUGUUCACUGAAAUAAAAUACAAAGCUAUCUUGGAAAAAGAAUGUUUUGUUGACAAAAAGUCCGAUGUUCUGUUCUAAUUUUUAUAUUGCUUGUUUAAUUAAGUUAAUCUUUCAAGCUUAAGUAACUUUGGUAUACUCUAGUUUGCAGGUAUCACAGCUUUAUGUUUUAGUAAUGCUUGCAGUUUUUCACUACUAUGGGAGUGUUGUAUGUGUGAUUUAUUUAUUUUGGAUACUGGGGUUAGGUUUUAUUACAUGUAAAGUUUUGUUCAUUAUGCCAUCUUGAUCUAUGGAGGUUAUCUAUAUUUAUGUCGAGACUAAGUGAUUUUGCAG